rnacentral:rRNA from 1 species
UAGGGAAUAUUGGACAAUGGGCGCAAGCCUGAUCCAGCCAUGCCGCGUGAGUGAAGAAGGCCCUCGGGUUGUAAAGCUCUUUUGUCCGGAAAGAAAAGCAUCGGGCUAAUACCCUGGUGUUCUGACGGUACCGGAAGAAUAAGCACCGGCUAACUUCGUGCCAGCAGCCGCGGUAAUACGAAGGGUGCAAGCGUUACUCGGAAUUACUGGGCGUAAAGCGUGCGUAGGUGGUUUGUUAAGUCUGAUGUGAAAGCCCUGGGCUCAACCUGGGAAUGGCAUUGGAAACUGGCGGACUCGAGUGCGGUAGAGGGGUGUGGAAUUCCCGGUGUAGCAGUGAAAUGCGUAGAGAUCGGGAGGAACACCAGUGGCGAAGGCGACACCCUGGACCAGCACUGACACUGAGGCACGAAAGCGUGGGGAGCAAACAGGAUUAGAUACCCUGGUAGUCCACGCCCUAAACGAUGCGAACUGGAUGUUGGGUGCAACUUGGCACUCAGUAUCGAAGCUAACGCGUUAAGUUCGCCGCCUGGGGAGUACGGUCGCAAGACUGAAACUUAAAUGAAUUGACGGGGUCAUAGCUGUUUCC